rnacentral:rRNA from 1 species
CGCACGGGUGAGUAACGCGUAUGCAACCUACCGAUCACAGAGGAAUAACCCGGAGAAAUUCGGACUAACACCCCAUAGCACUAAAAGUUCGCAUGAACUUUCAGUUAAAUAUUUAUAGGUGAUCGAUGGGCAUGCGUUCCAUUAGCUAGUUGGUAAGGUAACAGCUUACCAAGGCAACGAUGGAUAGGGGUUCUGAGAGGAAGGUCCCCCACACUGGUACUGAGACACGGACCAGACUCCUACGGGAGGCAGCAGUGAGGAAUAUUGGUCAAUGGACGCAAGUCUGAACCAGCCAAGUCGCGUGAAGGACGACUGCCCUAUGGGUUGUAAACUUCUUUUAAUUGGGAAUAAAAUCAGGGAUGUAUCCCUGUUUGCAAGUACCAAAAGAAUAAGCAUCGGCUAACUCCGUGCCAGCAGCCGCGGUAAUACGGAGGAUGCGAGCGUUAUCCGGAUUUAUUGGGUUUAAAGGGUGCGUAGGCGGUAUUAUAAGUCAGCGGUGAAAGUUUGAGGCUCAACCUUAAAAUUGCCGUUGAAACUGUAGCACUAGAGUGUAAAUGAGGUAAGCGGAAUGCGUGGUGUAGCGGUGAAAUGCAUAGAUAUCACGCAGAACUCCAAUUGCGAAGGCAGCUUACUAGCAUACAACUGACGCUCAAGCACGAAAGCGUGGGUAUCAAACAGGAUUAGAUACCCUGGUAGUCCACGCUGUAAACGAUGAAUACUAACUGUUUGCGAUACACAGUAAGCGGUACAGCGAAAGCGUUAAGUAUUCCACCUGGGGAGUACGCCGGCAACGGUGAAACUCAAAGGAAUUGACGGGGGCCCGCACAGCGGAGGAACGUGUGGUUUAAUUCGAUG